GGCCCUAUAGCUCAGUGGUUAGAGCACUGGUCUUGUAAACCAGGGGUCGCGAGUUCAAACCUCGCUGGGGCCU